UUGAUAUUUAUAUUUCACAUUUAUAUAAUGAAAAGGAAAUGGCAUUUAAAGUUUUUGAAUGGUAGGAAAAGAAUUUUAGAGGAAAGGAAGUCAUGUCAAGACCAGGUUGUACCCUUAUUAUAGAUAAAGCUUUUUUAAAAACCUUAUGUAUUGUGGUGCAGUGGCUUAAGCAUCCGACUGCAUUGGUUGGGUAGCUGCGGAGGUGCGGAUUUGAUAUCCAGCCCAGCACAGUGGAUUAAGGAUCUGGCAUUGCUGAAGCUGUGGCGUAGGUAGCAGCUGUGGCUCGGAUUAGAUCCCUGGCCUGGGAACUUCCAUAUGCUGUGGAUGUGGCUAUAAACAACAAACAAUUGUAUGUGUAAACCUCUAGCAUAGCUACUGUUCAAGCUUUGAUGUAAAGCGUAGAUAUAAAUUGCUCUUGGCCUAAAGAUUGAUGCUGACCAAAUGCAAAAGCCAAACCUUACGAAUUUUGCUUCUUCUAAGUUUUUUUUUUUCUUUUGAUACUCUUUGAAAAUAUAUUGUGACUACUUAAUUUCUUCAGGUUUUACUGAAUUUUGUUUAAAGAUUUAAAAAAGCUCAUAAAUUUCAUAUGUCCAUUAAAGCAAAAACACCAUAGGAUUUUAUGUGUGGGUUUUUUGGGGGUGGGGGGAAUUUGUCGUCUUGGUAUAAGCUACAGUAUCUUAACAUCUUGUUAAUAUUUUGGGAAAUUACUUUUAGGGCCUUAGGAUUUUUAACAUAUUUAAUGCAUAGUUUAUUUUCUGAAAUUCUUAUUUCACUUUACUACUUUUACUAUAUAUAUAUGCACAGAUAAUUUUAUUGUGGUAAAAUAUAAAUAACAUGAAAUUUACCUUUAUAGCUACUUUUAGAUGUACAGUUAUAUGGCCUAUAGUACAUUCACGUUGUUGUGCAACCAUCACCACCACCAUCAGUCUCUGAAACUUUUUCAUCUUCAAUUGAAGCUCUGUAUCCAUUAAACACAAACUCCUCAUUCAUCCUCUCCUCAGCUCCUAGCAACCACCAUUUUUUAUCUUACUGAAUUUGACUACCCAAGUACCCCAUAUAAGUGGAAUCAUAAAAUAUUUGUUGUUUUGUGACUGGCUUAUUUCACUUAGCAUAAAAUCUUUGGUUUAUCCAUGUGGUUCAUACGUGAGAAUUUCCUUUUUUCUUUUUUCUUUUUUUUUUUUUUUUUAAAGCCUUUUUUUGGGGCCGCAGUUUGAGGCACAUGGAGGUUCCUAGACUAGGAAUUGGAGCUACAACUUUAAAUCAGAGUUACAGCUGCCAGCCUACGCCAUAGCCACAGUAAUGCUAGAUCCAAGCCACAUCUGCGACCUACACCACAGCGCAUGGCAAUGCCGGAUUGUUAACCCAUAUAAUGUAGUUAGUUUUAGUUUUGAUAUUGAGAAUGGUGAGUUCAACUUUGUUCUUAUCUUUCAAAAUUACUUUAGUUAUCCUGGGUCUCUUGUAUUGCCUUAUGAGUAGUUAGGAUCAGCUUGUUACUAUAUGCAAAAAAACCCAGCUGGUAAUUCUAGAGGGAUUUCAUUAAAUCUGUAGAUCAGUUUGUGAGUAGUAUUGCCACCCUAACAAAUUAAAUCUUUUUUUUUUUUUUUUUUUUUUUUUUUUUUUUUUGUCUUUUGUCUUUUUGUUGUUGUUGUUGUUGCAGACGUGGCUGGGAUCCUGAGUCGCUGUGGCUGUGGCAUAGGCCAGCAGCUACAGUUCUGAUUGGAUCCCUAGCCUGGAACCAUAUGCUGUGGGAAGUGGCCCUAGAAAAGGCAAAAAAAAAAAAAAAAAAAAAAAAAAAA
rnacentral:lncRNA from 1 species